rnacentral:lncRNA from 1 species
UGAGAUGGAGUUUCGCUCUUGUAACCAGGCUGGAGUGCAAUGACACGAUCUCAGCUCACUGCAGUUUUCGUCUUCUGGGUUCAAGCAAUUCUCCUUCCUCAGCCCCCUAAGUAGCUGGUGGUGCCCACCACCAUGCCCAGAGGCAGAAUCACACUAUGUUGCCCAGGCUGUUCCUGUAAUGACCUCAAGUGAGCCUCCCAUCUUGUCCUCCCGAAGUGUUGAGAUUACAGGAAUGAGCUAACAUUGCCUGGCCCAAUCUUGUUUUUCUAGUUUUAAUUUAUUUCUGCUCAUUGUUAUUUUUCAUUCUUCUGCUUAUUUUGUAUUGAAUUUUCUCUUCUUUGUCUAGUUUUGUAAGGUGAAAGUUUAGAUCAU